AUCCUUUCCAUAAUGUUGUUCCCUUGUUAUCGAUAGAAUGCUACUCUCCAUUUUCUUCUCCUAUGGAUCAUCUCUGCUCUUGUUCCAGAUAUCCUUAAGCUUAUUUUCUUCAUAGAAGAUAAGUCACCAACCAAGGUGAAAGGUAUUGUGGUGCAAGGAAGGAAGGAGAAAGUCAUCUGAAAUUUUCACUUCUCCUAAAGGUACAAGGUAUAGUGUAUAUCUUCAUAUCCAGUCAUUUUGCGGCAUCCAGUCAGCAGCUGAUGAGUCCUUUGGAUUCAAGGGAUUGAGUUAGUUAUACAGUACGAGAAGUGUUGUAUUUCCUUUAUUCAGUCGUAUUGAUUUGGGUUAGUCGGGAGUCAUGACCCGGCUUUCAACAGUCAGUACUAGUAGAGGGUUCAUAGACAAGCAGUAGAAGUUAAUGUAUUCCAUUUCAGUUUUCGUUGUAAAAGCAGAGUUGUAAUCUUGUAAAUUUAGUUUUUUAUCUAUCAAAUUUAGAAAAAAGUU